GAGGAACCGGAAACGAGAACAAACUUUUCCCGGUCAUUUUAUGCAGCUAAAGUUGUUUAGUAUUUUCUCUUAUUUAGACACCAACACAUUAAAGAACACGUCUACAACCUGUAAAAACCAUCCCAGCGAGGAAAGUCGUGAGAUACUUUCAUGUUUUAGAUUUCAACAUGUCCUUGAGUGCAGUCCACUCCACACUGUCUAGUCUGAAAACAUGUCAGACAGAUAUUGGAACGGGGAUGGACAUUGUGACCGACGUCGCUCUGGACGUGGCAGAAACAGCAGGAACUGAGAAUGAUGCAGUCCUGAAGAAGCUGGAGGUGAUGAUGCUGGAGUGUGCCAAACUGGACCAGGAGAUCAACUGCUUCGUUGAGGUGGUGAACUGUGUCACUGCAGAGGUGAGGAACCAAGAGCCCGAGGCCAUGUUCAGACUGAAGUCUCUGGUGAAGGAGAAGUUCACUGAGAGACACGACAGUCUGUCUGAGGGAGAGCUACAGAACCACGUCAAGCUGGUCAGCUUUAAGGAGAACGUCAGAAACGCACUCAAAACAGUGAACCCUGAGGCAGCAGAGAAUAUGGAGGAGGAGCUGGAUGAGGAUGUUGCUGUGACGCAGAGUGAGGUUAACUUCACCUGUCCCCUGACUCAGGACAAUAAAGCCUCUGGUUGUGUCCAUGUUGUCGUGUGGCCCUGCAGGUGGAGAUGGUGGACCCAAUGAAGAACAAGAAGUGUAACCACCACUACGACCGGGACGCCAUUAUGGGGAUGAUCAAGGCCCGGCAAAACCAGAAGAAGAAGUUACGCUGUCCGGUGGUUGGCUGUGGCAACACGGACGUGAAGCAGGGAGACCUGAUCCUAGAUCAGAUUAUGAAGAGACAGAUCCUGAAGAGGUAGACUACCAAGGCAUGAUUCUGGUCCUGAAGAGGUAGACUACCAAGGCAUGAUUCUGGUCCUGAAGAGGUAGACUACCAAGACACUAUUCUGGGGUACGCCAACUCAUCAAACCUGACAAUAAUAAUAAGACUUUUAUUAGGAAAAAUCAUGACUUUUUGUUGUUGUGACCAAAUGGUAUCUUGCUACUGUGUCUGAUCGUAUUUGUUAGUUACAGAAUUGCACUAUUCUGAAGUUUUCUAUAACAAAACCUCUCUUUAUUUAUACAUAAGGGAUUCAUAUUUUUUAGUCAGUUCAAUAAAGGUAUAUUGGGGGGGGGGGGCAGGUAGCCUAGUGGUUAGAGCAUUGGGCCAGUAACCGAAAGGUUGCUAGAUCGAAUCCCUAAGCU